rnacentral:rRNA from 1 species
GGGUAUAAAGCGUGCGUAGGCGGGUAUGUAAGUCAGUGGUGAAAUACCGGAGCUUAACUUCGGAACUGCCAUUGAUACUAUAUAUCUUGAAUAUUGUGGAGGUAAGCGGAAUAUGUCAUGUAGCGGUGAAAUGCUUAGAGAUGACAUAGAACACCGAUUGCGAAGGCAGCUUGCUACGCAAAUAUUGACGCUGAGGCACGAAAGCGUGGGGAUCAAACAGGAUUAGAUACCCUGGUAGUCCACGCCCUAAACGAUGAUUACUCGACAUUAGCGAUACAUAGUUAGUGUCUGAGCGAAAGCAUUAAGUAAUCCACCUGGGAAGUACGACCGCAAGGUUGAAACU